GAUUUCGGUAACAGUAAGCAGGAUGUUUACUGGUCAGGACGACAAAUGGACCACUUCAGGACGAAGUCAGGGACACCUCUAGGAUAGAGGCAUAAAGGAACACUUCAGGGUUGAAGUAAAGGACACCUCCAGGAAGGAGAUGAGAGUUGAUAUAGGAUGUAUCGACGGGCUAAGGAAAGCCAAAGGAUCUCUUCAGGACGAAGAUAAAAGGACAAUGCUGACGGAUUACAGCAGUCAAUGGAAUGAUGCAGGGAGCACCAUAGUAGCCGGAUUGCUGCAAGUAAGACCUAAGGGCGCGACGCAAGUCGCGCCCGCUCUUUUAUGU
rnacentral:other from 1 species